GUAAUGGUGUCUUUAGACACCACCCUAUGUCUUUGAAUUUUGGUGU
rfam:Picea glauca, whole genome shotgun sequence.